GACGAACGCUGGCGGCGUGCUUAACACAUGCAAGUCGAACGGAAAGGCCCUGCUUUUGUGGGGUGCUCGAGUGGCGAACGGGUGAGUAACACGUGAGUAACCUGCCCUUGACUUUGGGAUAACUUCAGGAAACUGGGGGUAAUACCGGAUAGGAGCUCCUGCUGCCUGGUGGGGGUUGGAAAGUUUCGGCGGUUGGGGAUGGACUCGCGGCUUAUCAGCUUGUUGGUGGGGUAGUGGCUUACCAAGGCUUCGACGGGUAGCCGGCCUGAGAGGGUGACCGGCCACAUUGGGACUGAGAUACGGCCCAGACUCCUACGGGAGGCAGCAGUGGGGAAUAUUGCACAGUGGGCGGAAGCCUGAUGCAGCAACUCCGCGUGCGGGAUGACGGCCUGCGGGUUGUAAACCGCUUUCGCCUGUGACGAAGUGUGAGUGACGGUAAUGGGUAAAGAAGCACCGGCUAACUACGUG
rnacentral:rRNA from 1 species